UCAUCACCAGUACCUGCGUGCUGUACAUCAGCUUUCAUAAAAACUUUUAAUUCCACCGUUAAGUGCUAUUAUAAAAGAAGACAAUCUUUGAGAAUAUAUCCAAACUGCUCUGACAUUGCACUUGGAAGCUAGAAGCUUUUGAAAAGGAAGUUUCAGGGUGAGAGAAGAAUUCGGCACGUCUUGGUGAACAUGAUGAAGACUUUUUUGCUUCUCUUUGUGGUGAUGGCCCUUUUCGCGUGCAAAGGUCACACCUUAACCGUUAUGAUUCCUUGUAGUAAAUUGGCUUACAGGAAAGUUGUGAACGUGGGUACCAAGGUCGCUUCUUCACCUAGUAUUUCAACAGUAGUUCCGUUGUACGAUAAAACUUGCUACAAUGAAUGUUUGACAAUCUGUAGCAGAGAAGGACAAGGACGAUGAGACAAUCGUGUUUGACAAAUGCUACGCUUUCUCUUCUUUUGUUGACCCUUUGUGCUAUUGCUUUGGAUGGACUGGAUGGGGUGGAUUGGAUUUACCCGACUGGCGUCAUGCUGAUGGCUUCGAAUCGGCCUACUGCAAAGCAUAGUUUUCAGGAACAAUCUCCAAAGUUUUACAAAAACACUUUCAUGAUGAAUGUAGUUAACUAAUACCAUUAGUAAUAUUCAAUAUUAUAAAAUAACACAACCAAA